AACAAAGAAAAGAAGAAGCAAAAAAAAUCAUGAAGGCUGCAGGCUCAUUGGGUGUGGUUGUAUGCUUGUUCUUGGUGGUGGUUGGUGUUUUGGUUGAGGUGGUUCCAAUGGCAGAAGGCGACAUAACGCCCAGCCAAUGCAAGCAAGAGAAGGACCUUCUUGUGAGUGCAUGCAAAAGCGCAGGAGAAGAACCCGGGUUUCUCCCCUCUCCUCGGGUUACGUUGUGGAGAGUUUUUCUUUCCAGCUUUAUGCUGGGUUUUGUCUAUUCCUUGCUUUUGCAAGGUUUUGUAUCCAUAGUUUUUUGGGGGUUCAUUACCAUCUUUUUGGGGCUAGAUUGCUUUUAGAUCUCUCUUUUUGGAGAUAGAGCUUUUAGAUUUGGUUGGAUCUACAAUCAUUGGUGCUUUUGGAUCAAGUGGGGAUUUGGAGAUGGUGUGAUAUUUAUUAGAAUGUCCUAUUGGAUGUUGAGUAGUAACACCUUCCACUUCGGGGUGUUUCCUGUCCCAAGUUGUUUGAGAGAUUGUUCUAUGCCUGGGUCUUCCUGAAGUAUUAGUUUGCUGCAGGUUUUAUGGGUCCUCCUCAUUUGUAACUCCAAAUGAGCUGGGCUUCAAUUUGUACAUUUUUUCUCUUGCAAUGUUUGUGCCUGUUUGUUCAUGUUUUUUAGAUUUUCUGUUUUGUAAAAACCUCCUUUGG
rnacentral:lncRNA from 1 species